rnacentral:rRNA from 1 species
GAUGAACGCUGGCGGCGUGCUUAACACAUGCAAGUCGAACGGGAUCCAUCAGGCUUUGCUUGGUGGUGAGAGUGGCGAACGGGUGAGUAAUGCGUGACCGACCUGCCCCAUACACCGGAAUAGCUCCUGGAAACGGGUGGUAAUGCCGGAUGCUCCAGUUGAUCGCAUGGUCUUCUGGGAAAGCUUUCGCGGUAUGGGAUGGGGUCGCGUCCUAUCAGCUUGACGGCGGGGUAACGGCCCACCGUGGCUUCGACGGGUAGCCGGCCUGAGAGGGCGACCGGCCACAUUGGGACUGAGAUACGGCCCAGACUCCUACGGGAGGCAGCAGUGGGGAAUAUUGCACAAUGGGCGCAAGCCUGAUGCAGCGACGCCGCGUGAGGGAUGGAGGCCUUCGGGUUGUAAACCUCUUUUAUCGGGGAGCAAGCGAGAGUGAGUUUACCCGUUGAAUAAGCA